rnacentral:rRNA from 1 species
AUGAUCGGCGACACGACCCUCUUUGCCGAGCUGGACCGCCUCACCUGGAAAUGGAGCCUCCACCGCGUCUACUCUGCCAAAUCGGCCUACAUCGCCAUGUUUUGUGGCUCCACAACCUAUGCCGCCUGGAAACUUACCUGGAAGAACUGGGUGCCUGCGCGUGUCUGGUUCUUUCAUUGGCCCGCCCACCUCGACCGAUGCUGGACUGCAGACCGCCUUGCCUGCCGCGGCCAACAACACCCCGCGCGAUGUUCUAUCUACGACCAGGCCCCCGAGACCAUGCACCACCUCAUCCUCGCCUGCCCCUUCGUCCGACAGAUCUGGUACGAGGUGUUGCAUUGGCUCAAGCUCCCCUGCGUCCUGCCCGACAAUGAGCCCUCGCUCAAUGACUGUUGGCAAUCGGCAUGA